AGGAGCUGGGCGAUCUUCAGGUCUGCCCAGGGAUUCUGCCUCAAAUGGGUAACUACCAGUUGGAUUAAACGUGGGCUUUCUUUUAUUAAAAAUGUGGUAAGUUUCUGAGGGGGUGGGGCACUGCUGGCCACUCACCUUCUAGACCCACACCUGACUUCUAGUUUCCAGGAGGGAAGAGCACUCUCAGACAAGAAAGCAGCAGCUUGGAGGUCAGAUCAUUCAUCACAUGAAGUUUGACCCUGGUCUAGGAGUUGUUGGCUAGAACCUUGGUCCCAGCCAACCUCGUCUGGGUCCUCUUCUCAAAGGGUCGAGAUGGCUCCGACUGCCCUGUGACACUGUAUGGUCCUAGAGGGCAGGGGUCCUGCACAGCCAUCUUGUACCUCAGAGUCGAGGCACACCACUGGGGGAUGAGGAAUGUCAGGCCCACUAUGUUAGUCGCCAUUCCUAGGUCAUUCUGGAACUCGAUCUGCACCCCAACUGCUGCUGUUCUGGGAUGUCACUGUGACUCCCAUGGGACAGUUCUGGUGGAUGCAGUGUGGCAGAGAGGCUUUCCGCUUUCAGCAUCUGGAAGAGAUGACCUAUAGGAGAAGCCCAGUUCUAUACCCCACGUGAGACACGAGUGCAACCACCUGCUGGGUGAGCUACGUGAAGGGAGUCCACGGGAACUGCCUGAACAGGUCAUCAGCUGAACUUCUGAGGUAGCUUCCUCAGUGGGAUGGCCUCCUAAACGGUUCUGCCUCAGACUCUUGGCAAUCUGCUCUUUCCUUGAGAUAAUGCCUUCUGAUAAAUUUCUAGUUUUAUAAUCCUAAUAAGCAAACAAAACAAACUCCCACAAAACAACUAAUACCAAAGAGCUGAUAAGCAAGAGCUUAUUAAAAAUAAAUAAACUGGGUGCAGUGUGUCUGCCUGUAGUCUCCACUACUCAGCAAGCUGAGGCAGGAGGAUCCGAGCCGAGGAGUGCAAGUUUGGAAGAUCUGUCCCUACGUGUGAACUGCUCUCCCUGGCCGUAAGACUACAAGAAGAUCUUAAGAGUUUAGAGUCAUCUUCAAUUCUCCGGGAGCUCUGACCGCAGGAGCAGCAGCCAGAGAUGGAGAGUGCAGGGAUGGAUCGUAAGAAGAUGGAGAGGAGACAGAGGCUUGAGGGAGAGGCAGCUGUGUGUGUGAAUGGCACACUUAAAGCUCCUGCCUCCCAGUAACCUGGCCUCCAUACUACGACAUGCCCUGCCAGACACCACCAGGCUUCACCUACCACCGUCCUCUUACUCCCAAUAUGGGCAGAAAGUUUCCAAGGAGAAUCCUCAGACUCGAGUUAACUGUACACUAGUGCCUGCAGGACACCUUGGAGCCUCCAUUCCUUGGCACUUGGUCCCUCCGUCUGAUCACUCAUACUCAGGGCUCUCAGUCAUAACUAGGGGAAGGAAUUCUGACAGCCACUUGACAGACUCUGGUCCUGGGGUUGCCAUCACCUGCUGCACCUGGCCCGCCCCCGCCCCCUCCUCUUACCGUGGGCUCCAUGCCGUCCACGAUGCUCUGUAUCAGCCUCUUGAGUUCGUUGAGGGCAGUGCGUAAGCUGCCGGCUGGCACGUCCUUGGCGGACGAGGUUUCUGAAGACUCAUCCAUGGAGGAGUCCGUGGACACAGCUGAGUCGGCACUGUCGUUUCCUCGCAGGUGUGAGCACAGAUAGCGAACCUGGCAGUAGGCCUCCCAGAGCUGCAGUCGCAGCUGCAUCACAAAGAGAUACUCUUGACUAUGGACUCCAGAGGAUCCUGGCCAUCUUUGUCUAGUAUCUGAACCCAAAGGACACCAGUUCUAGGAGAAAAGGUUUUGGUUUCUAAACUCAUCUGUCCCAAGAAAUACUCAUCUUGGGCCUAGUACACCUACCCAGACUGCCAGCUCUCACCGCCCUGCUCUCCAGUCCCUCCCAUUGCCACUGCUUUGUUAUAUAAUUGGUUCUUAGUUGGAGUCAGGAAGUGACGGGGAAUGGGAGAUCACAGGAAGGAUGGAACACUGAAAAGCAGCAUGGAAUAGGGCAACAAGCAUUUCCUCAGAUAUGGGGUGAGACCAAACAGGAUGUGCCUGUGCCUCUGCCUCUGCCACUGUCCUCUGGAAGCUCCGCUCCAGGCCUCAGUGGACAAGGUGUGUGGGACCUGGAGGGCUGGGGCAGACUUCAGUCAGGGCCUGCCUCACACUGCUCUGGCCUGCCGGCCUAGGGGCCCUCACCAAGCAACAGCAGAGUGCUAGGGAGGACAAUGGCCCUGAGAGCUCGGGACCGCCUCACAUGCUGGCGACAGGGAUGUCAGCACCUGCUCUCUCUCCUGCUCCAACUCCUCGGCCUCCAUGCUCUGCUCUAUCUCUGACAGGAGGGAUGCGCUGGUGGCUGCGGAGCUCUGCAGACUCCUCUCCUCAGUGAGCUCCUCCACCUUCACCUGCAGCUGUCGGCAGGAGAGCCGCACCUCCUGCAGCUCCAGUUGGCUCUGGUGCAGCUUUCAGGGAGAGAGUAGAGGUCAGGUUCAUCCCAACCGAACUGAGCUGAACCAAGUCGGAGAGAAGUGCCUGAGCCUGCCAGCACCUCUAGAACCAACCCACAGAAAAACACGAAGGUACGAGGAAUGGAGCAGACUGCACCAGGAGCACCGUCAGCCAAAUCCAGAGCUGGGAAACGCCACAGCACAGAGCCCCAAUUCCUCAACGGAAAAAAAAGACAAGGGAGGAAACUAGAGAUUUAAGAAGAUUCAGGGGACUCAUCAACCAAAUGCAAUGCGUGGGCCUGUUUUAGGUUGUAUCUUGAUUCAAACAAAAAAUGUAAAAAAACAUGACAUUUAUAGGACAACUGAAAAUUUGAACAUUCAUUGGGUUUUUGAU